rnacentral:lncRNA from 1 species
GGGAGCUCUUCCGAGACGCACUGGGGGCCGGAUGUAGAAUCCUGCUUAUCUGUGAAAUGCAGUUAACACAUCAGCUGGACCUAUUUCCCGAAUGCAGGGUAACCCUUCUGUUAUUUAAAGAUGUAAAAAAUGCGGGAGACUUGAGAAGAAAGGCCAUGGAAGGCACCAUCGAUGGAUCACUGAUAAAUCCUACAGUGUUUCACUCUUGUUGCCCAGGCUGGAGUGCAAUGGCGCGAUCUUGGCUCACGGCAACCUCUGCCUCCCGGGUUCAAGCAAUUGUCCUGCCUCAGCCUCCUGAGUUGCUGGGAUUACAGAUUGUUGAUCCAUUUCAGAUACUUGUGGCAGCAAACAAAGCAGUUCACCUCUACAAACUGGGAAAAAUGAAGACAAGAACUCUAUCUACUGAAAUUAUUUUCAACCUUUCCCCAAAUAACAAUGUAAUGUGCACUUUCCUAUUUCUGUUGACCGUGUCAUAAUAACAUAUGUGUUCCUCAGUGUUGGGUUGGAGGCUAAAUUCCUGCAAGCCAGUGGUUAGUAAUAAACCCAAAUAAUAGUGAAGAGAGCUCUGGACAGAGAGUUGAGGUUUAACCCUGCCUCUUACUAAGACAGUUUACAUAUGAGUAAACAAAAAUUUAGCUAAAUUAAGCGAGGUUAAUUUUAUCUGUUCUUACCAUAUAGGGUCAGGAAGACCCCU